rnacentral:rRNA from 1 species
GACGAACGCUGGCGGCGUGCUUAACGCAUGCCAGUCGAACGGUGAAGCGCCUUCCUUUUUGGUGGGUGUGGAUGAGUGGCGAACGGGUGAGUAACACGUGAGUAACCUGCCCCCUUCUUCUGGAUAACCGCAUGAAAGUGUGGCUAAUACGGGAUAUUCUGGGUCUGUCGCAUGAUGGGUCUGGGAAAGAUAUUGUUUCGGUGGGGGAUGGGCUCGCGGCCUAUCAGCUUGUUGGUGGGGUGAUGGCCUACCAAGGCGGUGACGGGUAGCCGGCCUGAGAGGGUGGACGGUCACACUGGGACUGAGACACGGCCCAGACUCCUACGGGAGGCAGCAGUGGGGAAUAUUGCACAAUGGGCGCAAGCCUGAUGCAGCGACGCCGCGUGAGGGAUGGAGGCCUUCGGGUUGUGAACCUCUUUCGCCAGUGAAGCAGGCCUGCCUCGUUUGUGGGUGGGUUGACGGUAGCUGGAUAAGAAGCGCCGGCUAACUACGUG